CUGCCUGGUACAGCUUGAGGAAAUAAUUCAGGGGGGGCUCCCGGGAGAGCAGCAGCAGCCCUGGAGAAGGGGGUUGGAACCAUGCCUGUUGGCGACCCAGGCUCUUCACCGUCUCAUCUGUGACCUGACAUUGGAGAUGUUCCAGAACAGUUCCAUCUUUUUCCACAGUAUUUGAGGUGAUUUACUGAGUAAGAUCUAAGCUGAGUCAUCGAUUGUCGUAAGUGGGUAUCAGUCCCUUGAUCUUUGUUAAUUCUUACCCAUCUAAGCCAACAAAGGAUUAUUCUUUAAAAAAGGUGUCUAUGAGUAUCCAAAUUUUAAAGCCAAAGUUGUUUUAAUUGGACUUACAGGUAACGUGUUUCGUAUUUCCAAAGUGAAUACUCAGUAGGAUGAAUUCAAAGCCACUUUAAGAAAGUUACAGAUACACACUUAAAAGUAGGUGUUUCUGGGAACAUCUCUGCCUUUUAUGCUAGUGUAUUUAUACCAAGCCAGCCAGAAGCAACAGAAGGGCAGUCCAUCUGAGCCACUGGCACUGACAUCCAUUCAAUAGCAACAGCCAGCCAGGCCUGGGUAAUAUUGUAUGCAACUGCUUUCUUUGUUAAUGAAGGUAACAUUGUGCAUUGAACUAAAGGUGGAUACCUGCCACAAACUUCAUACCUUAUCCGGGCUUCAGGAUGUGGCUUUUCAGAUCCAGAUUUUUGUUUUUCCCACUAGAGAAAUAAGACUGCCAGGGAAUUAAAUCUGGAGCCAACUUCUGCAAAAUCUGAAGGAGGUGGGAAGCUGGAUUCAGGCUGAUGCAUCUCUCCUCCGCUGAGUACCCCAGAACAUUUUGCCUUCAUUCAGAAAUGCCCAGGCUAUAGCGCAGAGGAGAUGUGCUGCACGUGAAACAGCCCUGCAUUGCCUCUGGUCACAGGGCAUUAAAACUUGAAAGUGAGGACCCAAAGGAGAGAACAGGACAAGCUGUCACAACAUGAGUUUGCUGUCCCAGCAUAGCAGAGACUGGGAGAACUGAUGAAUUGAUGACAUUUUAAGGAUUUCUGCUGGUAUAUUCAAGUAUGUCAUUUCAAGGGAAAAGAAGAAAGUCCUUAUGGACCAUGGAUGACUGGUGUUCCCCGUAUAGUAAUUGUUUCCUUGCUCUUCCUCAGCAUUCAGCGUACAGCGGCAACAAUACGCCUUUCAUUAGGUGGACCAGGAGAGCUCUGCAUCCUGCAUAAUGGUUUCCUCCUCUGAUGCUGGGAUUGAUGCGAUGGCAAUUUCUGGCAUGGAAAAGGCAGAGGGCAGCACACUGAUGGGGAUUAUCCAGCACCUCAAUGCUCUUUUUUCC